AGACCCGAAACCCGGUGAUCUAGCCAUGGGCAGGUUGAAGGUUGGGUAACACUAACUGGAGGACCGAACCGACUAAUGUUGAAAAAUUAGCGGAUGACCUGUGGCUGGGGGUGAAAGGCCAAUCAAACCGGGAGAUAGCUGGUUCUCCCCGAAAGCUAUUUAGGUAGCGCCUCGUGAAUUCAUCUCCGGGGGUAGAGCACUGUUUCGGCUAGGGGGCCAUCCCGGCUUACCAACCCGAUGCAAACUGCGAAUACCGGAGAAUGUUAUCACGGGAGACACACGGCGGGUGCUAACGUCCGUCGUGAAGAGGGAAACAACCCAGACCGCCAGCUAAGGUCCCAAAGUCAUGGUUAAGUGGGAAACGAUGUGGGAAGGCCCAGACAGCCAGGAUGUUGGCUUAGAAGCAGCCAUCAUUUAAAGAAAGCGUAAUAGCUCACUGGUCGAGUCGGCCUGCGCGGAAGAUGUAACGGGGCUAAACCAUGCACCGAAGCUGCGGCAGCGAACGUAUCACUUAAAACGAUUCAGAAGGUUACGAUUGACGGAGCGAAGCGACGUCAAAGCGUAUACAAAGUCGAGUCGGUUUAAGGAUACGUUCGUUGGGUAGGGGAGCGUUCUGUAAGCCGCAGAAGGUGGCCUGUGAGGG
rnacentral:rRNA from 1 species